UGAGCUGGAUGUGAUUAUCAUCGAUUUGCUUAUAAUAGUACUACAUAUGUUCAUUCUCCCUCUACUCUAUCGGGUAUUCUGAUUUGUACAUGUAUGCGUAGAAAAGAUAUAAUGGAAGGAGAUUGGUUCACUAUCAUAUGUGCUGUAUGACAUAUAAUCGUAGAAUGAUAGUAUUUGUCUUCCGGUAAAAAAUGUGCCUGUAGCUCCCGCGACUAGUAUUGUGUUGAUUUUCUUUUUGCGGGGUUAGUAUUGUGUUGAUUUUGGUUGUUUUCUUAUCCUGCAUUGGUGGGCUUUCAAGGACGGCCGUCGCUACUUGAGUAUACUGGGCAUUCCAUGUUGUUCACGAGCUCAGUAAAUAAGGAAAGUGAAAAACGGAAAACCGCGUGCUGUUGACAUGGACAAACACAUCUGCCUAGCCUAGCCCAGCCCAAGCACCCAAAUAUGGAAACCUUGUGGGGCCCUGGGAUCCGGGUAGCAGACACGAACUCGGUCGCACGCGUCACCGUAAUGAUUACUCACAACUCGAGUCUAAUUCAGAAUCCGAGCAGCAGGCGUGAUCGCCCGUAGGUGGAUACACAGUAUAUAUGUGUGACGAGCGAUCGUCCGUCGAUUCCAACCCGUCCGCUCACAAGCGAUUCCAUCACCCUCGACUCCACGCGCGCUCUCUCGGCGUCGGCGAGCAACUCCGUCGCCCGCCAUGGUUGCCCACGGCCGCCGCUCCAGGGCGCCGGGGCGCCCGCACUUCGCCCUCGACGCCCACCCCUGCGAGCAAGAGCUCAUCGCGGCGUACCUCGGCCCGCGAGUCACCGACGGCGACAUGUCGUGCAAGUUCAUCCACGAAGGCGACGUCUACGCCGCCCACCCUGAGGACCUCACGCAGCAGUACGCCGCGGCCGUCUCCAGCAACGGCGACGAGGCGUGGUACUUCUUCACCGCCGUGCGGGCCAAAGGCGGCGGCCGCAGGGGGCGCACGGUGGACUCCCAGGAGGGGUGCUGGCACUCCGAGGCCGGCUCCAAGCCCGUGGUCUCGGCGCACCACCACGGCGGAGGCCUCCUGGGCCAUCGCCAGAACUUCUCGUUCGUCACCAAGGAGGACGGUGUGCGGGUCCGCUCCGGGUGGCUCAUGGUGGAGCUCGGCCUGCACGGCGACGGCCAGGACGAGGUCACCCUCUGCAAGGUCUACUUCAGCCCGCGCGCCGCCAAGAACAACAAGGAACCCGCCGCGUCGUCGUCCGCGCGCAAGAGGAAGGCCGACGCCGACAGCCCUGCCCCGGCGCGCCAAUACCGCCGCCGCCGCGAAAUGAACCAGGACGAUCACCCGGUGGAGAAACAAGACGUGGAGGCCGGCGAACAAGAGGGGCUCGUCGAGGAGAGCUCGGCGGACGAGCAUGAGGCUGUGGAUCCGAAUGACUUCUUUUGGUGGCUGCGGAACAAGGAGAAGGUGAGGCUGGCAUUGGGCAUCAGCGAGGAAGACUUCUACAGCCCCCCAUCUGCGGCUGCCUUGGAAAGAAGCUUCGGGCCGGACUGGCCGCCGGCUGCACCACCUUCCAGCCCCGUCGUUCCCAACGAGGACAAGCCCGUGGUCAUGUGGUUGACGUACGAGGAGCUUAACGAUCUGCCGGAGGUCAGAGAGUUCUUGUCGCCCACCAGGUUGCUGGAGGAGAUGAGAUCGUCUGUCAAGCAACACGAAUAGAUCGAUUGAUGACUAGCUGCUAGAAGGAUGUUUUCGCUUGCUCUUUGACUUGAGGUGGAUGGCCUUGUUAUUGUCCUAAUUCAGUUGACGUAUACUUAAGUGCCACUCAGAUCCCUGUAUCGAAGCAGCCGUUUGGCGCAACACCUGUUUUUAUUGAAUGGCGAUGAAAAUCGUUAUAUCUUUGCAUUUUAAGUACGACAUCACAUUUGGAUGGUAUUUUUUCUCUCGAAACAAACUUUCACCCCGCUUUAUAGACAAAGCCACACGGCCAAACGAUAAGAAGUGUUAAAAGAAGAGUGUUUCUUCAACUCCCGGGUGUCCCUACACCCUAUACGAACAGUAAAUUUAUAAAAGAAAAUGGAAAAUAAAAAAAUCUAUAAUUUCGUGGCAUCAAUGCUCAAACUUUGUAGGUGCUUGCAAGAUUUCAUGACAAAUUUCACAAAAAAAGAUUUCAUGACAAAAAACAUUCUAUGAUGUCUACACAAGAAAAAGAUUUCAGUGCUUAAAGUUUUGAGCACCGACUUUUUGUUUUCCAUGUGUAGAGCUCAUAUGAUCAUAUUUCUCGACGAAAAUUUGCAAGCACCUAAUUUUUGAGCUAGUUUGAUGUCACAAAAUGUCAUUUUUUAUGAAUUUGUUGGUCAUGAGGGUGUAGGGACACCCAGGAGCUACCACUUAUUUCUCCUAAAAGAAUCCUCAUACAAGCCGGUCAAAGAAAACUAUAGUAGACAAGCUAAGCACCGUCAAAAACCACGAUGGGUGCCCUACUGAACAUCGAUAACUUGUCGCCCAGAAGAAGCACAUGAGUGGCCGAACCACCACGAGACCACCAAGGCCACUCAUGGCAUAUGAACAUGCACCACCUCGAAGAAAACAAUGGACUUCAUUGCAACAUCCCCACCAGACCAAGGUCAGAUAGGGUCCUUUGCCCUCUCAUAUCGGACCGUGGAGCAUCGGCCCUGUCGGCAAGACUAGAGGAUGCCAUCACUUGUAAGAGAGAGAGAGGGGCAAACGUAGGCACAAGAUGCUGGAGCCGAGGUGGCAAUGGGUGGAGCUCCGAGCCAGCCCAAAGAACGUCGUCGCAACCAGAUAAACUCGCAAUCAUUGAUGAUGACGGCCCAAGAGGAGCACACGCUGUUGGGGAAUGUAGCAUGCAAUUUCAAAAAAUUUCCUACGAUCACGCAAGAUCUAUCUAGGAGAUGCAUAGCAACGAGAGGGAGAGAGUGUGUCCACGUACCCUCGUAAACCGAAAACGGAAGCGUUAAGUUAACGCGGUUGAUGUAGUCGAACGUCCUCAUGAUCUAAGCGAUCCAAGUACCGAACGUACGGCACCUCCGUGUUUAGCACACGUUCAGCUCGAUGACGUCCCUCGAGCUCUUGAUCCAGUAGAGGGUCGAGGAAGAGUUCCGACAGCAUGACGGUGAUGGUGAUGUGAUCCGCGCCGGGCUUCGGCUAAGCACUACGACGCUAUGAUCGGAGGAGUAAACUGUGGAGGAGGGCACCACACAUGACUAAGAGAACUAUUGGUGUGCCUUUGGGGUGCCUCCUGGCCAUGUAUAUAAAGGAGGGGGAGAGAGGAUGGCGGCCAGGAGGGGCGCGCCACGGGGGGAGUCCUACUUGGACUCCUAGUCCAAGUAGGAUUCGCCCCCCCCCUUUUCCUUUCUUCCACCGAAGGGAAUAGAAAGGAGAGGGAGAGGGAAAGUGAAGGGGGGCGCCGCCCCCUCCUCCUUGUCCUAUUCGGACUCCCAAGGAGGGGGCACGCGUCCAACCCCCGCGGGCUUCCCUCUCUCUCCCUUAGGCCCAUGUUGGCCCAAUACUUCCCCGGGGGGUUCUGGUAACCCCUCGGUACUCCAGAAAAAUACACGAAUCACUCGGAACCAUUCCGAUGUCCGAAUACUACCUUUCAAUAUAUGAAUCUUUACCUCUCGACCAUUUCGAGACUCCUCGUCAUGUCCGUGAUCACAUCCGGGACUCCGAACAAACUUCGGUCACCAAAACACAUAACUCAUAAUACAAAUCGUCAUCGAACGUUAAGCGUGCGGACCCUACGGGUUCGAGAACUAUGUAGACAUGACCGAGACACAUCUCAGGUCAAUAUCCAAUAGCGAAACCUGGAUGAUCAUAUUGGCUCCUACAUAUUCUACAAAGAUCUUUAUCGGUCAAACCGCAUAACAACAUACGUCAUUCCCUUUGUCAUUGGUAUGGUACUUGCCCGAGAUUCGAUCGUCGACACCAUCAUACCUAGUUCAAUCUCGUUACUGGCAAGUCUCUUUACUCGUUCUGUAAUGCAUCAUCCCACAACUAACUCAUUAGUCACAUUGCUUGCAAGGCUUAUAGUGAUGUGCAUUACCGAGAGGGCCCAAAAUACCUCUCCGAUACUCGGAGUGACAAAUCCUAAUCUCGAUCUAUGCCAACUCAACAAACACCUUCGGAGACACCUGUAGAGCAUCUUUAUAAUCACCCUGUUACGUUGUGACGUUUGAUAGCACACAAGGUGUUCCUCUGGUAUUCGGGAGUUGCAUAAUCUCAUAGUCAGAGGAAUAUGUAUAAGUCAUGAAGAAAGCAAUAGCAAUGAAACUAAACAAUCAUUAUGCUAAGCUAACGGAUGGGUCUUGUCCAUCACAUCAUUCUCUAAUGAUGUGAUCCCGUUCAUCAAAUGACAACAUAUGUCUAUGGUCAUGAAACUUAACCAUCUUUGAUUAACGAGCUAGUCAAGUAGAGGCAUACUAGGGACACUUCUGUUUGUCUAUGUAUGCACACAUGUACUAAGUUUUCGGUUAAUACAAUUCUAGCAUGAAUAAUAGACAUUUAUCAUGAUAUAACGAAAUAUAAAUAACAACUUUAUUAUUGCCUCUAGGGCAUAUUUCCUUCGGUCUCCCACUUGCACUAGAGUCAAUAAUCUAUAUCACAUAGUAAUGAUUCUAACACCCAUGGAGUCUUGGUGCUGAUCAUGUUUUGCUCGUGAGAGAGGCUUAGUCAAUGGGUCUGCAACAUUCAGAUCCGUAUGUAUCUUGCAAAUCUCUAUGUCUCCCUCCUUGACUUAAUCGCGGAUGGAAUUGAAGCGUCUCUUGAUGUGUUUGGUUCUCUUGUGAAAUUUGGAUUCCUUCGCCAAGGAAAUUGCUCCAUUAUUGUCACAAAAUAUUUUCAUUGGACCGGAUGCACUAGGUAUUACACCUAGAUCGGAUAUGAAAUCCUUCAUCCAGACUCCUUAAUUUGCUGCUUCCGAAGCAGCUAUGUACUCCGCUUCACACGUAGAUCCCGCCACGACGCUUUGCUUGGAACUGCACCAACCGACAGCUCCACCAUUCAAUAUAAAUAUGUAUCCAGUUUGUGACUUAGAGCCAUCUGGAUCAGUGUCAAAGCUUGCAUCGACGUAACCAUUUACGACAAGCUCUUUGUCACCUCCAUAAACGAGAAACAUAUCCUUAGCCCUUUUCAGGUAUUUCAGGAUGUUCUUGACCGCUGUCUAGUGAUCCACUCCUAGAUUACUUUGGUACCUCCCUGCUAAACUUAUAGCAAGGCACACAUCAGGUCUGGUACACAGCAUUGCAUACAUGAUUGAACCUAUGGCUGAGGCAUAGGGAAUGACUUUCAUUUUCUCUCUAUCUUCUGCAGUGGUCGGGCAUUGAGUCUGACUCAACUUCACACCUUGUAACACAGGCAAGAACCCUUUCUUUGACUAAUCCAUUUUAAACCUUUUCAAAACUUUAUCAAGGUAUGUGCUUUGUGAAAGUCCAAUUAAGCGUCUUGAUCUAUCUCUAUAGAUCUUGAUGCCCAAUAUAUAAGCAGCUUCACCGAGGUCUUUCAUUGAAAGAUUCUUAUUCAAGUAUCCUGUUAUGCUAUCCAGAAAUUCCGUAUUAUUUCCAAUCAAUAAUAUGUCAUCCACAUAUAAUAUUAGAAAUGCUACAGAGCUCCCACUCACUUUCUUGUGAAUACUGGCUUCUCCAAAAGUCUGUAUAAAACCAUAUGCUUUGAUCACACUAUCAAAUCAUAAAUUCCAACUCCGAGAGUUUUGCACCAGUUCAUAAAUGGAUCGCUGGAGCUUGCACAAUUUGUUAGCACCUUUAGGAUCAACAAAACCUUCUGGUUGCAUCAUAUACAACUCUUCUUUAAGAUCUGCAUUAAGGAAUGCAGUUUUGACAUCCAUUUGCCAAAUUUCAUAAUCAUAAAAUGCGGCAAUUGCUAACAUGAUUCAGAGAGACUUAAGCAUCGCUACGGGUGAGAAGGUCUCAUCGUAGUCAACUCCUUGAACUUGUCGAAAACCUUCCGCAACAAGUCGAGCUUUGUAGACAGUAACAUUACCGUCAAUGUCAGGCUUCCUCUUAAAGAUCCAUUUAUUCUCUAUGGCUUGCGGAUCAUCGGGAAAGUCAACCGAAGUCCACACUUUGUUCUCAUACAUGGAUCCCAUCUUAGAUUUCUUGGCCUCAAGCCAUUUCACGGAAUCUGGGCUCAUCAUCGCUUCCUCGUAGUUCGUAGGUUCGUCAUGGUCUAGUAACCUGACCUCCAGAAUAGGAUUACCGUACCACUCUGGUGCAGAUCGUACUCUGGUUGACAUACGAGGUUCGGUAGUAACUUGAUCUGAAGUUUCAUGAUCAUCAUCAUUAGCUUCCUCACUAAUUGGUGUAGGAAUCACUGGAACAGAUUUCUGUGAUGAACUAUUUUCCAAUUCAGGAGAAGGUACAAUUACCUCAUCAAGUUCUACUUUCCUCCCACUCACUUCUUUCAAGAGAAACUCCUUCUCUAGAAAGGAUCCAUUCUUAGCAACGAAUAUCUUGCCUUCGGAUCUGUGAUAGAAGGUGUACCCAACAAUAUCUUUUGGCUAUCCUAUGAAGACACAUUUCUCCGACUUGGGUUCGAGCUUAUCAUGUUGAAGAUUUUUCACAUAAGCAUCGCAGCCCCAAACUUUAAGAAACGACAACUUAGUUUUCUUGCCAAACCAGAGUUCAUAUGGUGUCGUCUCAACGGAUUUAGAUGGUGCCCUAUUUAACGUGAAUGUAGCUGUCUCUAAAGUAUAACCCCAAAACAAUAGCGGUAAAUCGGUAAGAGACAUCAUAGAUCGCACCAUAUCUAGUAAAGUACGACUACGACGUUCGGACACACCAUUACGCUGUGGUGUUCCAGGUGGCGUGAGUUGCGAAACUAUUCCACAUUGUUUCAAAUGAAGACCAAACUCAUAACUCAAAUAUUCACCUCCAUGAUCAGAUCAUAGAAACUUUAUUUUCUUGUUACGAUGAUUUUCCGCUUCACUUUGAAAUUCUUUGAACUUUUCAAAUGUUUUAGACUUAUGUUUCAUCAAGUAGAUAUACUCAUAUCUGCUCAAAUCAUCUAUGAAAGUUAGAAAAUAACGAUACCCACCGCGAGCCUCAACACUCAUCGGACCGCAUACAUCAGUAUGUAUUGUUUCCAAUAAGUCAGUUGCUCGCUCCAUUGUUCCGGAGAACGGAGUCUUAGUCAUCUUGCCCAUGAGGCAUGGUUCGCAAGCCUCAAGUGAUUCAUAAUCAAGUGAUUCCAAAAGCCCAUCAGUAUGGAGUUUCUUCAUGCGCUUUACACCAAUAUGACCUAAAAGGCAGUGCCACAAAUAAGUUGCACUAUCAUUAUUAACUUUACAUCUUUUGGCUUCAAUAUUAUGAAUAUGUGUAUCACUACAAUCGAGAUUCAACAAAAAUAGACCACUCAUCAAGGGUGCAUGACCAUAAAAGAUAUUACUCAUAUAAAUAGAACUGAAGGAAAUAUGCCCUAGAGGCAAUAAUAAAGUUGUUAUUUAUAUUUACUUAUAUCAUGAUAAAUGUUAAUUAUUCAUGCUAGUAUUGUAUUAACCGGAAACUUAGUACAUGUGUGAAUACAUAGACAAACAUAGUGUCACUAGUAUGCCUCUACUUGACUAGCUCGUUAAUCAAAGAUGGUUAAGUUUCCUAACCAUAGACAUGAGUUGUCAUUUGAUGAGCGGGAUCACAUCAUUAGAGAAUGAUGUGAUUGACUUGACACAUCCGUUAGCUUAGCACUAUGAUCGUUUAGUUUAUUUUUAUUGCUUUCUCCAUAACUUAUACAUGUUCCUAUGACUAUGAUAUCAUGCAACUCCCGAAUCCCGGAGGAACACUUAGUGCUAUCAAACAUCAUGAUGUAAUUGGGUGAUUAUAAAGAUGCUCUACAGGUGUCUCUGAUGGUGUAUGUUGAGUUGGCAUAGAUCGAGAUUAGGAUUUGUCACUCCGAUUGUCGAAGAGGUAUCUCUGGGCCCUCUCGGUAAUGCACAUCACUAUAAGCCUUGCAAGCAAUGUGACUAAUGGGUUAGUUACGGGAUGUUGCAUUACAUAACGAGUAAAGAGACUUGCCAGUAAUGAGAUUGAACUAGGUAUGAUGAUACCAAUGAUCGAAUCUUGGGCAAGUAACAUACCGAGGACAAAGGGAACGACGUAUGUUGUUAUGCGGUUUGACCGAUAAAGAUCUUUGUAGAAUAUGUAGGAGGCAAUAUGAGCAUCCAGGUUCCGAUAUUGGCUAUUGACCGGAGAUGUGUCUCGGUCAUGUCUACAUAGUUCUUAAACCCGUAGGGUCCGCACGCUUAACGUUUGAUGACGAUUUGUAUUAUGAGUUAUGUGAUUUGAUAUACCGAAGGUUUUUUGGAGUCCCGAAUGAGAUCACGGACAUGACGAGGAGUCUCAAAAUGGUCGAGACAUAAAGAUCGAUAUAUUGGAAGCCUAUGUUUGGAUAUCGGAAUGGUUCCGUGUGAGUUCAGGAAUAUACCGGAGUACCGGGAGGUUACCGGAACCCCGCGGGAAGUAUAUGGGCCUUAUUGGGCCAUAGUGGGAGAGAGGAGAAGGGAGCCUAGGAGGGGCGUGCCCCCCAAGCCCAAUCCGAAUUGGGUGGGCGGUCGGCCCCCUUUCCUUCCCCCCUCUCCCCCUUCCUUCCUCUCCUAAUCCAACUAGGGAAGGAGGGGAAUCCUACUCCCCAUGGGAGUAGGACUCCCCUUGGGCGCGCCAUAGAGGGGCCGGCCCUCCCCCUCCUCCACUCAUUUAUAUACGGGGGAGGGGGGCACCCCAUAGAUACACAAGUUGAUCUCUUAGCCGUGUGCGGUGCCCCCCUCCACAGAUUUCCACCUUGAUCAUAUCGUUAUAGAGCUUAGGCGAAGCCCUGCUUCGGUAACUUCAUCAUCACCGUCAUCACAUCGUCGUGCUGACGAAGCUCUCCCUCGACACUCAGCUGGAUCUAGAGUUCGUGGGACGUCACCGAGCUGAACGUGUGCAGAUCGCGGAGGUGUCGUACCUUCGGUGCUAGGAUCGGUCGGAUCGUGAAGACAUACGACUACAUCAACCGCGUUGUCAUAACGCUUCCGCUUACGGUCUACGAGGGUACGUGGACAACACUCUCCCCUCUCAUUGCUAUGCAUCACCUAGAUAUAUCUUGCGUGUGCGUAGGAUUUUUUUUGAAAUUACUACGUUUUCCAACAGUGGCAUCCGAGCCAGGUCUAUGCGUAGAUGUUAUAUGCACGAGUAGAACACAAAGGAGUUGUUGGCGUGGGUAUUAUACAUAUUGCUUGCCGUCACUAGUUGAUUCUUGAUUCAGCGGUAUUGUUGGAUGAAGUGGCUCAGACCGACAUUAUGCGUAUGCUUACGCGAGACUGGUUCUACCGACGUGCUUCACACACAGGUGGCUAGUGGAUGUCAGUUUCUCCAACUUUAGUUGAAUCGGAUUCAAUGAACAUGGUUCUUUCUGAAGAUCAAAAAUCAAUCACUAUACCGCGUUGUGGUUUUCGAUGUGUAGGUAAGAACGGUUCUUGCUCAGCCCGUAGCAGCCACGUAAAACUUUUAACAACAAAGUAGAGGACGUCUAACUUGUUUUUGC
rnacentral:lncRNA from 1 species